AAAGAUGAAAAGAACUUUGAAAAGAGAGUUAAAUAGUACGUGAAAUUGUUGAAAGGGAAACGAUUGAAGUCAGUCAUGCUGGUGAGGAAUCAACACGAGGGUUCGCUUUCGUGUGCACUUCUUCGCUUGGCAGGUUAGCAUCAAUUUUGGUCGUCAUAAAAUUAUCGGGGUAAGGUGGCUCCCCUCGGGGAGUGUUAUAGACCCUGGUAGAUGUGAUGACCGGGAUUGAGGAUUGCAGCGAAUGCUACUUGGCUAGUCACCUGAUUUCUAUUGAUCACCUCGCCGUCGAUAGCUUUGCUAACCUCGGUGGGAUCUGAUUAACUAGAGAUUAGACUGAUCGUAAAUUCGCUAAGGAUGCUGACGUAAUGGCUUUAAACGACCCGUCUU
rnacentral:rRNA from 1 species